rnacentral:rRNA from 1 species
AUUGAACGCUGGCGGCAUGCCUUACACAUGCAAGUCGAACGGCAGCACGGGAGCAAUCCUGGUGGCGAGUGGCGAACGGGUGAGUAAAGUAUCGGAACGUGCCCAGUCGUGGGGGAUAACGUAGCGAAAGUUACGCUAAUACCGCAUACGAUCUAUGGAUGAAAGCGGGGGAUCGCAAGACCUCGCGCGAUUGGAGCGGCCGAUAUCAGAUUAGGUAGUUGGUGGGGUAAAGGCUCACCAAGCCGACGAUCUGUAGCUGGUCUGAGAGGACGACCAGCCACACUGGGACUGAGACACGGCCCAGACUCCUACGGGAGGCAGCAGUGGGGAAUUUUGGACAAUGGGCGCAAGCCUGAUUCAGCCAUGCCGCGUGCAGGAUGAAGGCCCUCGGGUUGUAAACUGCUUUUGUACAGAACGAAAAGGUUUCUACUAAUACUAGGAGCUCAUGACGGUACUGUAAGAAUAAGCACCGGCUAACUACGUGCCAGCCGCCGCGGUAA